rnacentral:rRNA from 1 species
UACGUAGGGUGCAAGCGUUGUCCGGAAUUAUUGGGCGUAAAGAGCUCGUAGGCGGUCCGUCACGUCGGCUGUGAAAACUCGGGGCUCAACCCCGAGCCUGCAGUCGAUACGGGCGGACUAGAGUCCGGCAGGGGAGACUGGAAUUCCUGGUGUAGCGGUGAAAUGCGCAGAUAUCAGGAGGAACACCGAUGGCGAAGGCAGGUCUCUGGGCCGAUACUGACGCUGAGGAGCGAAAGCGUGGGGAGCGAACAGG